rnacentral:rRNA from 1 species
UUAAGCGACUAAGCGUACACGGUGGAUGCCCUGGCAGUCAGAGGCGAUGAAGGACGUGCUAAUCUGCGAUAAGCGUCGGUAAGGUGAUAUGAACCGUUAUAACCGGCGAUUUCCGAAUGGGGAAACCCAGUGUGUUUCGACACACUAUCAUUAACUGAAUCCAUAGGUUAAUGAGGCGAACCGGGGGAACUGAAACAUCUAAGUACCCCGAGGAAAAGAAAUCAACCGAGAUUCCCCCAGUAGCGGCGAGCGAACGGGGAGCAGCCCAGAGCCUGAAUCAGUGUGUGUGUUAGUGGAAGCGUCUGGAAAGGCGCGCGAUACAGGGUGACAGCCCCGUACACAAAAAUGCACAUGCUGUGAGCUCGAUGAGUAGGGCGGGACACGUGGUAUCCUGUCUGAAUAUGGGGGGACCAUCCUCCAAGGCUAAAUACUCCUGACUGACCGAUAGUGAACCAGUACCGUGAGGGAAAGGCGAAAAGAACCCCGGCGAGGGGAGUGAAAAAGAACCUGAAACCGUGUACGUACAAGCAGUGGGAGCCUCUUUUAUGGGGUGACUGCGUACCUUUUGUAUAAUGGGUCAGCGACUUAUAUUCUGUAGCAAGGUUAACCGAAUAGGGGAGCCGAAGGGAAACCGAGUCUUAACUGGGCGUUAAGUUGCAGGGUAUAGACCCGAAACCCGGUGAUCUAGCCAUGGGCAGGUUGAAGGUUGGGUAACACUAACUGGAGGACCGAACCGACUAAUGUUGAAAAAUUAGCGGAUGACUUGUGGCUGGGGGUGAAAGGCCAAUCAAACCGGGAGAUAGCUGGUUCUCCCCGAAAGCUAUUUAGGUAGCGCCUCGUGAAUUCAUCUCCGGGGGUAGAGCACUGUUUCGGCAAGGGGGUCAUCCCGACUUACCAACCCGAUGCAAACUGCGAAUACCGGAGAAUGUUAUCACGGGAGACACACGGCGGGUGCUAACGUCCGUCGUGAAGAGGGAAACAACCCAGACCGCCAGCUAAGGUCCCAAAGUCAUGGUUAAGUGGGAAACGAUGUGGGAAGGCCCAGACAGCCAGGAUGUUGGCUUAGAAGCAGCCAUCAUUUAAAGAAAGCGUAAUAGCUCACUGGUCGAGUCGGCCUGCGCGGAAGAUGUAACGGGGCUAAACCAUGCACCGAAGCUGCGGCAGCGACACUAUGUGUUGUUGGGUAGGGGAGCGUUCUGUAAGCCUGUGAAGGUGUACUGUGAGGUAUGCUGGAGGUAUCAGAAGUGCGAAUGCUGACAUAAGUAACGAUAAAGCGGGUGAAAAGCCCGCUCGCCGGAAGACCAAGGGUUCCUGUCCAACGUUAAUCGGGGCAGGGUGAGUCGACCCCUAAGGCGAGGCCGAAAGGCGUAGUCGAUGGGAAACAGGUUAAUAUUCCUGUACUUGGUGUUACUGCGAAGGGGGGACGGAGAAGGCUAUGUUGGCCGGGCGACGGUUGUCCCGGUUUAAGCGUGUAGGCUGGUUUUCCAGGCAAAUCCGGAAAAUCAAGGCUGAGGCGUGAUGACGAGGCACUACGGUGCUGAAGCAACAAAUGCCCUGCUUCCAGGAAAAGCCUCUAAGCAUCAGGUAACAUCAAAUCGUACCCCAAACCGACACAGGUGGUCAGGUAGAGAAUACCAAGGCGCUUGAGAGAACUCGGGUGAAGGAACUAGGCAAAAUGGUGCCGUAACUUCGGGAGAAGGCACGCUGAUAUGUAGGUGAAGUCCCUCGCGGAUGGAGCUGAAAUCAGUCGAAGAUACCAGCUGGCUGCAACUGUUUAUUAAAAACACAGCACUGUGCAAACACGAAAGUGGACGUAUACGGUGUGACGCCUGCCCGGUGCCGGAAGGUUAAUUGAUGGGGUCAGCGCAAGCGAAGCUCUUGAUCGAAGCCCCGGUAAACGGCGGCCGUAACUAUAACGGUCCUAAGGUAGCGAAAUUCCUUGUCGGGUAAGUUCCGACCUGCACGAAUGGCGUAAUGAUGGCCAGGCUGUCUCCACCCGAGACUCAGUGAAAUUGAACUCGCUGUGAAGAUGCAGUGUACCCGCGGCAAGACGGAAAGACCCCGUGAACCUUUACUAUAGCUUGACACUGAACAUUGAGCCUUGAUGUGUAGGAUAGGUGGGAGGCUUAGAAGUGUGGACGCCAGUCUGCAUGGAGCCGACCUUGAAAUACCACCCUUUAAUGUUUGAUGUUCUAACGUUGACCCGUAAUCCGGGUUGCGGACAGUGUCUGGUGGGUAGUUUGACUGGGGCGGUCUCCUCCUAAAGAGUAACGGAGGAGCACGAAGGUUGGCUAAUCCUGGUCGGACAUCAGGAGGUUAGUGCAAUGGCAUAAGCCAGCUUGACUGCGAGCGUGACGGCGCGAGCAGGUGCGAAAGCAGGUCAUAGUGAUCCGGUGGUUCUGAAUGGAAGGGCCAUCGCUCAACGGAUAAAAGGUACUCCGGGGAUAACAGGCUGAUACCGCCCAAGAGUUCAUAUCGACGGCGGUGUUUGGCACCUCGAUGUCGGCUCAUCACAUCCUGGGGCUGAAGUAGGUCCCAAGGGUAUGGCUGUUCGCCAUUUAAAGUGGUACGCGAGCUGGGUUUAGAACGUCGUGAGACAGUUCGGUCCCUAUCUGCCGUGGGCGCUGGAGAACUGAGGGGGGCUGCUCCUAGUACGAGAGGACCGGAGUGGACGCAUCACUGGUGUUCGGGUUGUCAUGCCAAUGGCACUGCCCGGUAGCUAAAUGCGGAAGAGAUAAGUGCUGAAAGCAUCUAAGCACGAAACUUGCCCCGAGAUGAGUUCUCCCUGACUCCUUGAGAGUCCUGAAGGAACGUUGAAGACGACGACGUUGAUAGGCCGGGUGUGUAAGCGCAGCGAUGCGUUGAGCUAACCGGUACUAAUGAACCGUGAGGCUUAACCUU